GAUGAACGCUGGCGGCGUGCCUAAUACAUGCAAGUCGAGCGAACAGACGAGGAGCUUGCUCCUUUGACGUUAGCGGCGGACGGGUGAGUAACACGUGGAUAACCUACCUAUAAGACUGGGAUAACUUCGGGAAACCGGAGCUAAUACCGGAUAACAUGUUGAACCGCAUGGUUCAACAGUGAAAGACGGUCUUGCUGUCACUUAUAGAUGGAUCCGCGCCGCAUUAGCUAGUAGGUAAGGUAACGGCUUACCAAGGCAACGAUGCGUAGCCGACCUGAGAGGGUGAUCGGCCACACUGGAACUGAGACACGGUCCAGACUCCUACGGGAGGCAGCAGUAGGGAAUCUUCCGCAAUGGGCGAAAGCCUGACGGAGCAACGCCGCGUGAGUGAAGAAGGUCUUCGGAUCGUAAAACUCUGUUAUUAGGGAAGAACAAAUGUGUAAGUAACUAUGCACGUCUUGACGGUACCUAAUCAGAAAGCCACGGCUAACUACGUG
rnacentral:rRNA from 1 species